GUCAACAGUGCCUUAGCAGCACGUAAAUAUUGGCGUUAAGAUUCUAAAUUAUCUCCAGUAUUAACUGUGCUGCUGAAGUAAGGUUGAC
ensembl:miRNA